rnacentral:pre_miRNA from 8 species
UCUCCAUCACCACCAGACUAUUAUUUGCAAUCAGUAACAAAGAUUCAUCCUUGUGUCCAUCAAGCAACAAGGAGAAUCUUUGUCACUAAGUGUAAAUAAUAGCUACACUUCACAUUAGAAG